UUUACAAUGGAGAGUUUGAUCCUGGCUCAGGAUGAACGCUAGCGGCAGGCUUAAUACAUGCAAGUCGAGGGGCAGCAUGGUGUAGCAAUACACUGAUGGCGACCGGCAAACGGGUGCGGAACACGUACAGAACCUUCCUUCGAGCGGGGAAUAGCCCAGAGAAAUUUGGAUUAAUACCCCAUAGUAUAACGGAGUGGCAUCACUUUGUUAUUAAAGAUUUAUCACUUGAAGAUGGCUGUGCGGCUGAUUAGGUAGUUGGCGGGGUAACGGCCCACCAAGCCUGCGAUCAGUAACUGGUGUGAGAGCACGACCAGUCACACGGGCACUGAGACACGGGCCCGACUCCUACG
rnacentral:rRNA from 1 species